rnacentral:sRNA from 1 species
UAUUUUGCCCUACAGGGAAGGAUGAGAAGCUUCGACUAAGGUUCGACUCGAGCGAAGCGAGAGAACGUUGCCGCAGGCAACGGCCCGAAGG